rnacentral:rRNA from 1 species
UAGUCUAGAAAGGCGCCAUCGGCCGCGUCCGUCGCCAAAAUCCCUUGGAACAGGGUAUCGGAGAAGGUGAGAAUCCUGUGACGUGGCGGAUCGCGGCCGCACGAUGCGUUCUUACAGAGUCGGGUUGCUUGGGAUUGCAGCUUGAAAUGGGAGGUAAAUUCCUUCUAAAGCUAAAUAUUGCAGCGAGACCGAUAGCGAACAAGUACCGUGAGGGAAAGAUGCAAAGAACUUUGAAAAGAGAGUUAAAGAGUGCUUGAAACCGACAAGGGGAAACCCGGUUGCGCCCGGUGUCGUGUAGUCGACUCAGCCCUAACGGGUGCACUUUGACUGCACGGGUCAGCCGCCUCUCCGCGCGAGGGAGAAGCACCUUAGUUUAGUUACCGGGGACUUACCUCGCGUGGGGCGCCGUCUGACGUAACGGGCGCCACCGACCCGUCUAGAAACACGGACCAAGGAGUCUGACAUGGACGCGAGUACUUGGGUGUCAAACCUAUGUGCGCAAUGAAAGUGAAGGGCGUGCCCCGCCAACCGACCUUGAUCUGCUGUGAAGGGUUUGAGUGGAGCGUUCCUGUCGGGACCCGAAAGAUGGUGAACUAUGCCUGGAUAGGUUGAAGUCUGCUGAAAGGCAGAUGGAGGGCCGUAGCGAUACUGACGUGCAAAUCGUUCGUCAAAUCUGGGUAUAGGGGCGAAAGACUAAUCGAACCAUCUAGUAGCUGGUUCCCUCCGAAGUUUCCCUCAGGAUAGCUUG